AUCCCUUUGUAGCUCAUAAGCAUGAUGAUUGGGUGUUUAUGCUGUCGUGUGAUGUGGGUCUCCCUCAAACUUUGUUACGACCUUGGUGCAUUACCCAUCUGACA
ensembl:snoRNA